GCCCCGAUAGCUCAGUGGUAGAGCACUUCCAUGGUAAGGAAGGGGUCGUCAGUUCAAUCCUGACUCGGGGCU
rfam:Yonghaparkia sp. Root332 contig_1, whole genome shotgun sequence.